rnacentral:rRNA from 1 species
AUUGAACGCUGGCGGCAGGCUUAACACAUGCAAGUCGAGCGGAGAGAGGUAGCUUGCUACUGAUCUUAGCGGCGGACGGGUGAGUAAUGCUUAGGAAUCUGCCUAUUAGAGGGGGACAACAUUUCGAAAGGAAUGCUAAUACCGCAUACGUCCUACGGGAGAAAGCAGGGGAUCUUCGGACCCUGCGCUAAUAGAUGAGCCUCAGUCGGAUUAGCUAGUUGGUGGGGUAAAGGCCUACCAAGGCGACGAUCUGUAGCGGGUCUGAGAGGAUGAUCCGCCACACUGGGACUGAGACACGGCCCAGACUCCUACGGGAGGCAGCAGUGGGGAAUAUUGGACAAUGGGCGGAAGCCUGAUCCAGCCAUGCCGCGUGUGUGAAGAAGGCCUUAUGGUUGUAAAGCACUUUAAGCGAGGAGGAGGCUACUUUAGUUAAUACCUAGAGAUAGUGGACGUUACUCGCAGAAUAAGCACCGGCUAACUCUGUGCCAGCCGCCGCGGUAA